rnacentral:rRNA from 1 species
CCUACGGGUGGCAGCAGUGAGGAAUAUUGGUCAAUGGACGAGAGUCUGAACCAGCCAAGUAGCGUGAAGGAUGACUGCCCUAUGGGUUGUAAACUUCUUUUAUAAAGGAAUAAAACGAGGCACGUGUGCCUUUUUGCAUGUACUUUAUGAAUAAGGAUCGGCUAACUCCGUGCCAGCAGCCGCGGUAAUACGGAGGAUCCGAGCGUUAUCCGGAUUUAUUGGGUUUAAAGGGUGCGUAGGCGGUUUUUUAAGUUAGUGGUUAAACGUCGGGGCUUCACCUUGAUUUGCCAUUAAUACUGUAAGACUCGAGUUCAGACGAGGUAGGCGGAAUAAGUUAAGUAGCGGUGAAAUGCUUAGAUAUAACUUAGAACUCCGAUAGCGAAGGCAGCUUACCAGACUGCAACUGACGCUGAGGCUCGAAAGCGUGGGGAGCAAACAGGAUUAGAUACCCUGGUAGUC